CCUACGGGUGGCAGCAGUGGGGAAUAUUGGACAAUGGGGGCAACCCUGAUCCAGCCAUGCCGCGUGUGUGAAGAAGGCCCUCAGGUUGUAAAGCACUUUCAGUGAGGAAGAACGCCUGGUAGUUAAUACCCAUCAGGAAAGACAUCACUCACAGAAGAAGCACCGGCUAACUCCGUGCCAGCAGCCGCGGUAAUACGGAGGGUGCGAGCGUUAAUCGGAAUUACUGGGCGUAAAGCGCGCGUAGGUGGCUUGAUAAGCCGGUUGUGAAAGCCCCGGGCUCAACCUGGGAACGGCAUCCGGAACUGUCAAGCUAGAGUGCACGAGCGGAAGGUAGAAUUCCCGGUGUAGCGGUGAAAUGCGUAGAGAUCGGGAGGAAUACCAGUGGCGAAGGCGGCCUUCUGGACUGACACUGACACUGAGGUGCGAAAGCGUGGGUAGCAAACAGGAUUAGAUACCCGAGUAGUC
rnacentral:rRNA from 1 species